rnacentral:misc_RNA from 1 species
AACGCACAUUGCGCCCUCUGGUAUUCCGGGGGGCAUGCCUGUUCGAGCGUCAUUACAGCCCUCAAGCUCUGCUUGGUAUUGGGUGCCACCGCCCCGGUGCGCCUUAAAAUCAGUGGCGGUGCCGUCCGGCUCCAAGCGUAGUAACUCUUCUCGCUCUGGAGGACCGGCCGUGCGCCCGCCAGCAACCCCCAAUUUAUCAAAGGUUGACCUCGGAUCAGGUAGGGAUACCCGCUGAACUUAA